CUACUCACUUCAGAGGGCUUGCAGACAGUGCUAGCCACACAGCAGGAAACCUGGGCUGUAUUACUGAAAAGAAGCCAACUGACCUUCAUUCUACUUUGCUUGAUUCCUUCUACAAUCUGUUCCAUCUGACGUAAAAACUGGUCCCGGGCAGCUGGGGAGGCCAUGGCUCUGAAAGAAAAAUCAGCAGAGCUGUGUAGAAUGGGGGUGAUGAGGAAGAUGAGAGCACACACACGAGGACUGAGAACAUUUCCAAAGGAUGAGCUGCCAUAGGAAGUACUCACAAAAACACUCUAAGUGCAGUUCUCUCAGUCAUCAGGGAAGAAAGAUGAAAGCACCAUUUUCGGAAAUAUUACAAGGUGAGUCACUAUUUGAAUUAGAAUCUUACCAGUCAGGUUUUCUUUUCUUUCUUUCUUUCUUUCUUUUUUUUUUUUUUUAAAUUAAAAAAGAAGCUUAACAUUCACUCAGAAUCUUCCUAGCUCACAUUUAGAGCCUUCAAAGAGUCCUGUAAUUUAUUAAGAGCUGCGUCCUAAUGUGUCCCUGGUCACCUGUAAAGGCAGAGCAUCUAUCUGUCUAGAGAAAGCAAGCAUGCUAUCCAGGGAGCAAGCUCUGAGGCUGCUUAGACAGCAGAUAGGCCAGUGGACAAGCUUGAGGCCUUUAGGAAUAGGUAGGCCUGGCCAUUCAAUUUUUGGAGACGAAAAAAAUCAUUUUACUACUUAAAUUUUAAAGCACUUCUAUGUGCUCAAGAGCAAAUGGUAUUAAUCUUACCUUAUCAAGACAUAACUAAUGUUCAAAGAGAUUAUAGUAGGUAGGCAGAGUCAAAUUAUUUAAAAGCUAACUUUUUUCCUAAGUUUUUCCGUGGUGUUUUAAAAACUCCCUUCAACGUUUUAUUUUUGUAGGAACUCAGGGAGAGUGUAAAUCAAGAAACAUCUGAAUGUAGAUGAAGUGAAAGUGAAGAAUCAAACACUCAGCAUUAAGUUGUGUAUGUGCCUUUGUUGAUCACAGAUAGCAAUGCUGGCUGGGCUAAAUCCAAAAUACAGGGCAAGUGGGGUAUUUACAGGAAGGAAGACUGACAGU